UAGACCCGAAACCGGGUGAUCUAGCCAUGGGCAGGUUGAAGGUUGAGUAACAUCAACUGGAGGACCGAACCGACUAAUGUUGAAAAAUUAGCGGAUGACUUGUGGCUAGGGGUGAAAGGCCAAUCAAACUCGGAGAUAGCUGGUUCUCCCCGAAAGCUAUUUAGGUAGCGCCUCGGACGAAUACUACUGGGGGUAGAGCACUGUUAAGGCUAGGGGGUCAUCCCGACUUACCAACCCUUUGCAAACUCCGAAUACCAGUAAGUACUAUCCGGGAGACACACGGCGGGUGCUAACGUCCGUCGUGGAGAGGGAAACAACCCAGACCGCCAGCUAAGGUCCCAAAGUAUUGCUAAGUGGGAAACGAUGUGGGAAGGCUCAGACAGCUAGGAUGUUGGCUUAGAAGCAGCCAUCAUUUAAAGAAAGCGUAAUAGCUCACUAGUCGAGUCGGCCUGCGCGGAAGAUGUAACGGGGCUAAGCAAUACACCGAAGCUGCGGCAAUAUCUUUUAGAUAUUGGGUAGGGGAGCGUUCUGUAAGCCGUUGAAGGUGAAUCGUAAGGUUUGCUGGAGGUAUCAGAAGUGCGAAUGCUGACAUGAGUAACGACAAAGGGGGUGAAAAACCUCCUCGCCGGAAGACCAAGGGUUCCUGUCCAACGUUAAUCGGGGCAGGGUGAGUCGACCCCUAAGGUGAGGCCGAAAGGCGUAAUCGAUGGGAAACGGGUUAAUAUUCCCGUACUUCUGACUAUUGCGAUGGGGGGACGGAGAAGGCUAGGUGGGCCAGGCGACGGUUGUCCUGGUUCAAGUGCGUAGGCUUGAGAGUUAGGUAAAUCCGGCUCUCUCUAAGGCUGAGACACGACGUCGAGCUGCUACGGCAGUGAAGUCAUUGAUGCCAUGCUUCCAGGAAAAGCCUCUAAGCUUCAGAUAGUCAGGAAUCGUACCCCAAACCGACACAGGUGGUCGGGUAGAGAAUACCAAGGCGCUUGAGAGAACUCGGGUGAAGGAACUAGGCAAAAUGGUACCGUAACUUCGGGAGAAGGUACGCUCUUGAUGGUGAAGUCCCUCGCGGAUGGAGCUGACGAGAGUCGCAGAUACCAGGUGGCUGCAACUGUUUAUUAAAAACACAGCACUGUGCAAAAUCGCAAGAUGACGUAUACGGUGUGACGCCUGCCCGGUGCCGGAAGGUUAAUUGAUGGGGUUAGCGCAAGCGAAGCUCUUGAUCGAAGCCCCGGUAAACGGCGGCCGUAACUAUAACGGUCCUAAGGUAGCGAAAUUCCUUGUCGGGUAAGUUCCGACCUGCACGAAUGGCGUAAUGAUGGCCACGCUGUCUCCACCCGAGACUCAGUGAAAUUGAAAUCGCUGUGAAGAUGCAGUGUACCCGCGGCUAGACGGAAAGACCCCGUGAACCUUUACUACAGCUUGGCACUGAACAUUGAACCUACAUGUGUAGGAUAGGUGGGAGGCUAUGAAGACGUGACGCCAGUUGCGUUGGAGCCGUCCUUGAAAUACCACCCUUGUAUGUUUGAUGUUCUAACUUAGACCCAUUAUCUGGGUUGAGGACAGUGCCUGGUGGGUAGUUUGACUGGGGCGGUCUCCUCCCAAAGAGUAACGGAGGAGCACGAAGGUGGGCUAAUCACGGUUGGACAUCGUGAGGUUAGUGCAAUGGCAUAAGCCCGCUUAACUGCGAGAAUGACGGUUCGAGCAGGUGCGAAAGCAGGUCAUAGUGAUCCGGUGGUUCUGUAUGGAAGGGCCAUCGCUCAACGGAUAAAAGGUACUCCGGGGAUAACAGGCUGAUACCGCCCAAGAGUUCAUAUCGACGGCGGUGUUUGGCACCUCGAUGUCGGCUCAUCACAUCCUGGGGCUGAAGUCGGUCCCAAGGGUAUGGCUGUUCGCCAUUUAAAGUGGUACGCGAGCUGGGUUUAGAACGUCGUGAGACAGUUCGGUCCCUAUCUGCCGUGGGCGUUGGAAGAUUGAAGGGGGCUGCUCCUAGUACGAGAGGACCGGAGUGGACGAACCUCUGGUGUUCGGGUUGUGUCGCCAGACGCAUUGCCCGGUAGCUAAGUUCGGAAUUGAUAAGCGCUGAAAGCAUCUAAGCGCGAAGCGAGCCCUGAGAUGAGUCUUCCCUGACAGUUUAACUGUCCUAAAGGGUUGUUCGAGACUAGAACGUUGAUAGGCAGGGUGUGUAAGCGUUGUGAGGCGUUGAGCUAACCUGUACUAAUUGCCCGUGAGGCUUAACCAU
rnacentral:rRNA from 1 species